rnacentral:lncRNA from 1 species
UCUUUUGUUUGUCUUAUAUUCAGUUUAGUAUUUGAGCUGUAUCGAUUUGGGCGGUUAUGCCUUUGUACUCCGUACUUUAAACAUUUGAAUAGAGGAGGAUGAUCCUCAUUUUUAUUUCCUGACUUUAUGUUUUCUUCAAAUGCUUAAUAUAGAGCUGUAUCGAUUUGGGCGGUUAUGCCUUUGUACUCCGUACUUUAAACAUUUGAAUAGAGGAGGAUGAUCCUCAUUUU